UACGUAGGGUGCGAGCGUUGUCCGGAAUUAUUGGGCGUAAAGGGCUCGUAGGCGGUCUGUCGCGUCUGCCGUGAAAGUCCGGGGCUCAACUCCGGAUCUGCGGUGGGUACGGGCAGACUAGAGUGAUGUAGGGGAGACUGGAAUUCCUGGUGUAGCGGUGAAAUGCGCAGAUAUCAGGAGGAACACCGAUGGCGAAGGCAGGUCUCUGGGCAUUAACUGACGCUGAGGAGCGAAGGCAUGGGGAGCGAACAGG
rnacentral:rRNA from 1 species